CCUACGGGAGGCUGCAGUGAGGAAUAUUGGUCAAUGGCCGGAAGGCUGAACCAGCCAUGCCGCGUGAAGGUCAGUGCCCUAUGGGCGUUAAACUUCUUUUGUGCGGGAGCAAUAAUGGUCACGUGUGGCCAGACGAGAGUACCGUACGAAUAAGCAUCGGCUAACUCCGUGCCAGCAGCCGCGGGAAUACGGGGGAUGCAAGCGUUAUCCGGAUGUAUUGGGUUUAAAGGGUGCGUGGGCUGUGAGGUAAGUCAGCGGGGAAAUGCCCCCGCUCAACGGGGUGAAGUGCCAUUGAUACUGCCUUGCUGGAAUGCGGAUGCCGUGGGAGGAAUGUGUGGUGUAGCGGUGAAAUGCAUAGAUAUCACACAGAACACCGAUUGCGAAGGCAUCUCACGAAUCCGCGAUUGACGCUGAUGCACGAAAGCGUGGGUAUCAAACAGGAUUAGAUACCCUGGUAGUC
rnacentral:rRNA from 1 species